AUGAGGACAGUGCAUUUCCUGAAGUUCCUCCCUGUGACUGUCAGUGCCUGCAGACUUCCAGGCCCCCUGUCCAGGCAUCAUUGACAGCAAACAAACGAGACCAGAGUGUCCAGGACCUGGCAGUCCCUCCCUGCCCUGAUGCUGCUGCUGGCCCUGCUGCUGCCCCUUCUGUGGGCGGGGUCCCUGCAGGAGGAACCAAGCUACUGGCUGCGGGUGCAGAAGUUGGUGACAGUGCAGGAGACCCUGUGUGCCCUGGUGUCCUGCUCCUUCUCCUACCCCCAGGACCGCUGGAACCACUCGACCCCUGCUUAUGGCUACUGGUACCAGCACAAGGAGGGUCCCCAAAACUCAUCAUACAACAAAUGAACUUGUGGCCACAAAUGACCCACGCAAGAAAGCUGGACUGAGAAGCAAAGCUCGUUUCCAGCUGCUCGGGGACCCCAGGGCCUACAACUGCUCCCCCUGAGGAUCGCAGGGUGCCCAGCAGGGGGACAGUGGAAGUUACUAUUUUCGGGUGGAGAGGAGUCAUGAAAUACAAUUAUGUGAGACUGGUGCUGACUGUGAUUGUCACAGGUGAGGGACAGUCAGCGGGAAGGAAGGGGCAGAGGGAUGGGGAGGACCCUUAGGGGCAGAAGGGUCUCCCUGUCCUGGUGGGGAAGGGUCAGCAGAGUGUGGGACCGCUCAGGACUGAGAUGUCUGUGUCAGACACACACGGGGUCCUCUCUGGGGCCUGUCCUGUCCUUCUCUCUUUCCCCAGAGCUCACACUGAGACACCCUAGAGCAUCCACAUGCCGGAGCUGCUGGUGUCUGGUCACUCCAGUCGCCUGGAGUGCUCCAUGCCCGGGGCCUGCAGUGGGGCCCUGGCACCCACGCUUCUUCUGGACCGGGGCUGCCCUGAGACCCCUCGGGUUGGGGCUUGGGCAUUCACAGAUCUUCGGAGAUCCUGCCUCCACCACUCCCUCAGGACCACGGCACCCACCUCACCUGUCGGGUGACUCUCCCUCAGGCUGGAGUGACCAGGGAGAGGACUGUCCAGCUCAGUGUGUCCUAUCCUCCUCAGAGCCUGACCCUCAGUGUCUCCACAGCAGAUGACAGAGGUAGGUGUGACAUCCUUCUACAUAGGGGUGGGAAGCAGGUUUCUGCUAACAGAGCCCAGAGCCACCCACAAGCCAAACCUAGGAGUUCAUGGUGUGAUUCGGGGAGCAUCUCUCUUUUUGGAGGGUGACAGCACUAUUUUUGUCCCCUGCAUGCACUUAGAAGGAAUCCUCACAAUCACACCCCUUGGCACUCAAGCAAAGCAGGGCAAGAGGGGACCGUGGAGCCCUGGAGUCCUGACAGCCCCUCCAGUUCACCCCUCUGUCUCCCUGGACGAGACCCGGGCCCUGGGUGUGUCUUCUUCUUUCUUUCUAUCACAUUUACCAGUUGUAGGGCUGGGGAUUUAGCUCCAGUGGUUCCACAGCCUGCCUCAAAAGCAUAAGGUCCGAGUUCAAUCCCUGGUACAAAAAAAAAAAAGUCUGUUAACAUUUUACUCAGUUGUGUCUGCAUCUCCACCAUGCUCCCCUUACCCUGUUACCUUCGGAAAGCAUAAUAGAAAUGUAUCUUUUUGUCUGACAUUUUAUUUAUUGAUUUAGAUUGAUGAUAUUCAUCCAACACAGACUUAACCCAAUUUGUUUUCUUCUUAUGGUGGUGAGAAUGGAACCCAGGUCCUCAUGCAUAAGAGGCCAGAGCUCUGCAGCUGAGCCGCAAUUCAGCCCAGAAUUAGCCACUUCAGAGUGAACCUGUAGGGGCAUUAAUGGCCUCACAGAGUGGCACCACCACCAACCCCUCCAAGCCCGCAGUCACGCCCAUCAUUGCCACAGAGCCCUGUGUUGCCAGCCCUGGCCUCUGCCCCUCUGGCUGGUGUCCCCAUGGCGGUGCCUCCUAGGGUCAUUUCCUGUAAAUGCAGCCUCACUCAGUCCCCCCCUCUGGUGCCUGGCUUCCCCGUGCAGCUUGUAUCCAGGCUCCCCCAUGCUUGAGCCUUGGUCAAGCUGCUUCCUCUUCCGCUGCACAGGCGUCAUGCUGUCUGCAUUGAGGCUCCACUGGUGCCCACGCGUGUGCCUGGGGACCAGGGUGGCUCACAUUCAGUUGCUGUGAAGGGGCUCUGGGGACAUUGCUGCACAGGGUCUGUGUGGAGCCCUGUUUCAGUCCUUGGAUUCUGUGCCUGCCGGGAAACUGCAGGGACCUACGUGAUGAGAGCCUGGGGACGCUGCUCUGCCCUGUGUCCUAGGUGUCCCUCUGAUCCCUGUGUUGUCCUUAACGUUGUCGCUGCCGCUGUGGGCCAUUGCACUGUGGGCAAGUGCCACAGUCCACGUCUCCCUUCUGCUCUCAGGUGGUACCUGCAGUGGUUCUGAUCACCCCACUGUGAGCCUGCCCCCCAUUCCCAAUGCGAUGCUUCCCAUACUCAGCCGAGUACCAUCUUCUAAGGCUCCAGUGACAUUGGAGAUUCUGACUCACAAACCUGGGGCGGGGCUGGGUCCUCACUCCUAAUCAGCUCAAGGGGCUCUCCCUGGGGAGGAGCUGGAGGCUGCAGGAGCGGACAGAGGUAACAGAGCUCUGGGGUUCACACCUGGAAGCGGAAGUGCAGGGUCCCUGCAAGGCAAAUUCCUCAGACCACUAGACAGGAGCAGGACAGAGUCGGCUCUGGGAGACCCCUGGAGAGACUGUCUCUCCAUGUCACCUCUGACGGGAAGCAGUGUUGCUCGGAACAGCCCGUGUCCUGUGUGGAUUUAAGCCUGGCGGCUCCAUCCCAAGGUACUGGGGGCACAGAGAGGAGCAGGGGCAUCGGAUCCUCAGGAGCCUUGGAAGAAUUGAUGGUUGGAUUUUGGAUUUUUGAGCAAAAGGAGGCUCAGCUGGUGGUGAGUAGUUCCAGCAGGAGAGAAAUGUGGACGAGGAUAAAUGGCUCAAAGGCAUCAUGGGGCACUCAAGAUGUCCCUAAACUGGUGGGUGGAUGGAGGCAGAGAAUGUGGCAGAUUCACACAAUGCGUUAUAAUGCAGCCAGGGAAGCUGAACCCCAUUCUGACUGGAGCUGCACACAGGUGACCCCUGGCAAAGAGGUGCUGGCGAGACAAGCCAGAUAGGAAAGCCCAAACGGCCUGAGAAAAUCUGCAGACAGAGUGGGUUGGUGUUUGCUUGGGGCUGGGGAGGCAAGGACUGGGGAGACAGCUAGGGGUGCUGGCCUUCUCUCUGGGGUGACUCAGACCCUCUAAGAUUGUGAUGGCUGAUGCCCAGCUCUGUGAAUGGACAAAAGCCACUGAAGUGCGCACUUUAAACUGUGUCUACAUGGAGUUACAUGAUGUGUGAAUUUUACAUAGGUAUAGACAAGGACUUUCUGAACAGAACCCCAGUUGAAUAAGAAAUAGUUCCAAUAAUCAACAAAUGGGAUCAUAUUAAAUUAAAGAGCUUCUGCACAGCAAAAUAAACAACCAACAGAGAAAAGACAGAUGGGAAACAAUGUUACAGAGACAGGGGACUCAUAUCCAGACUAUAUAAAGAACUAAAAAAAUUGGAGCCCCCCAAAAUAAAAAACCAAAUCAUAAAAUGGUCAAAUGAAAUGAAUAGAUACUUAACAGAAGAAGGAAAAAAGGCCAAAAAUACAUGCUUAAAUCCUCAGCGUCACAGGCAAUUAGAAAUGCAAAUAAAAACAACAAACAGGGAUUCCAUCUUACUCCAGAAGGAAUGGCCAUCAUUAAGAAAUCAAACAACAACAGAAGGCUGAGGAGUAUGCCAGAAAAGGGGCCCUUUC
ensembl:lncRNA